CUUAAUUUCUGUGAAUUUGUUAGUCACUGUAGGCAUCCUGGUCAUCACCCUUUGGCCUUAGUAAUUGUGGAAAAUACUAACUAAAAUACUGAAUAGAGGAAGUUCUUCCCACACUGAUAAGAAACAAAGAAACAAGUGGUUAAUUUGAUUUAUUUAAUUUCGCAGUUAUUUUUCGAUUGAAGAAAUAUGGGGUUAAACAAUGAACCAGUUGGUCCAAUACGAUUGGAAAUUCUCUCAAAUUUUUGGCGAAGAAGUUCAUAAGUCUGUAGGAAAUGUUCUCAAGUUUCUCAAACUCAUGAGGUUGACAAGGGAUGCCAUUUCAGCAUUCAUUUGGAUAGCUCAACACCUAAGCAGAGUUGGUCUCUCAUUGUCCUCGACUAAUGCGACCAAAAUAUGGUUGUAGCUGUUGCGAUUGAAUGCAUGUUUAAGGUACCUGAUCAUUCUUGAAGUGAGACAUCAUAGUUGUCCAUUUUUGCUUUUUUCGGCGAAAGCUUACAUUGUUUUGGUAGAAGAGGUCAGACAAAAUUUUCUACCCAUAUUCACAGCCCUCAAUUUAUUUUUAAAAUCAUGCAUCGUGGCAUCGUUACUCCGACACUGAAUACGAGUACCAUGUUGUUGUUGCUUUUGAGGAGGUUUCUAUUAUAGAUGUUGGUACCUCACUGGACUUGAUAGCCAAAAUUUGUUGGGAAUGAAAAGUACAAGUGUCUUCAUCUCAACGAACAAUUGCCCUUUCUUUGCCGCUUCAGAGCAGAAUCCUCCCUACGUUGUUGCAACUAUCACUCGCAAUGCUCUAUACGACUUCGCAGAAGACAAACUGGAGGAGUGGAGUAUCCCCGACAGGCAUUGUGGUGGUCCCUUUUUGGUUAAACAGAAUGAAGACAGAACUAUUAAUAUUUAUGGGCUUUCUCUGUUGGUUCUAUGAACCUUUAUUUAUUGAACUAAAGGUUGUUUUGUAGCAUCUUAAUUGUGACGUUGGCUUUUCAAUUUUAUUUUUUUUCUGCAUAAUAUUUUGAGGUAAUAUGCAAUAGAAAUAGAGAUUCG